AGUGAACGCUGGCGGUAGGCCUAACACAUGCAAGUCGAACGGCAGCAAAGGAGAGCUUGCUCUCUGGGUGGCGAGUGGCGGACGGGUGAGGAAUACAUCGGAAUCUACUCUGUCGUGGGGGAUAACGUAGGGAAACUUACGCUAAUACCGCAUACGACCUACGGGCGAAAGCAGGGGACCGUCGGGCCUUGCGCGAUUGAAUGAGCGGAUGGCGGAUUAGCUAGUUGGCGGGGUAAAGGCCCACCAAGGCGACGAUCCGUAGCUGGUCUGAGAGGAUGAUCAGCCACGCUGGAACUGAGACACGGUCCAGACUCCUACGGGAGGCAGCAGUGGGGAAUAUUGGACAAUGGGCGCAAGCCUGAUCCAGCCAUACCGCGUGGGUGAAGAAGGCCUUCGGGUUGUAAAGCCCUUUUGUUGGGAAAGAAAUCCAGCUGGCUAAUACCCGGUUGGGACGACGGUACCCAAAGAAUAAGCACCGGCUAACUUCGUGCCAGCCGCCGCCGUAA
rnacentral:rRNA from 1 species